rnacentral:rRNA from 1 species
UACAGAGGUCCCAAGCGUUGUUCGGAUUCAUUGGCGUAAAGGGUGCGUAGGUGGCGCCGUAAGUGGGGUGUGAAAUUUCGGAGCUUAACUCCGAAACUGCAUUCCAUACUGCGGUGCUUGAGGACUGGAGAGGAGACUGGAAUUUACGGUGUAGCAGUGAAAUGCGUAGAGAUCGUAAGGAAGACCAGUGGCGAAGGCGGGUCUCUGGACAGUUCCUGACACUGAGGCACGAAGGCCAGGGGAGCAAACGGG